AGUGAACGCUGGCGGCGUGCUUAGCACAUGCAAGUCGAACGAGAACGGAUUAUAGCUUGCUAUAAUUGUCAGCUAAGUGGCGCACGGGUGAGUAAUGUAUAGGUAAUAUGCCUCUUACUAAGGGAUAACAAAUGGAAACGUUUGCUAAUACCUUAUACUCCUUAUUAACAGAAGUUAAUAAGGUAAGAUUUAUUGGUAAGAGAUUAGCCUGUAUUGUAUCAGUUAGUUGGUGGGGUAAUGGCUUACCAAGACUAUGACACAUAACUGGUUUGAGAGGAUGAUCAGUCACACUGGAACUGAGACACGGUCCAGACUCCUACGGGAGGCAGCAGUGGGGAAUAUUGCACAAUGGACGAAAGUCUGAUGCAGCAACGCCGCGUGGAGGAUGACACAUUUCGGUGCGUAAACUCCUUUUAUAUGAGAAGAUAAUGACGGUAUUAUAUGAAUAAGCACCGGCUAACUCCGUGCCAGCCGCCGCCGUAA
rnacentral:rRNA from 1 species